rnacentral:lncRNA from 1 species
AAAAGUCUAGUAUGUGGACUCUCAUUCUAGUCAUUUCUCCAUCUAAUCCAUCUUUUUUGCAGAAACCAUGGGGAAGAAAGCAGACAGGAGUACUCAUGAGGACAUUGAUGCAGAAACCCAGGUGUAAAGUCAAAUAUGCUGAAUGGCUCUCCAUCAACAAAUUAAAGAGGCAAAUAUAAAAUCCAGAUUUUUCAGAUUCUGAAAGCACAAGAAAGUUACCUGGAUCAGAGAAAACAGAUCCAGUUUUAUGGAGAGAAAAGGUAACUGUGAAAUGGUCUUCAUAUUCCCCAUGAAGAAUAUACAGCAAUGCUUGAUGGAGUCGAUGGUGGCUCGUACCACACUCCAGUCAGCUCUACAGCUUGUGGAAGAGUCUAAGACUAAAGAUGUCUGGGGGACCUUCUUGGCAAAGAAAAAGCACUGCAUCUGGACUGAGGUAAAAAGUUGCAUGGCUCAUGUGACUUGUUUAUUCUUGGACCAUCUCUUAGCUUUCCUGUUUGUCUGGUAUCUUACACACACUCAAGAUUGGAUCUCCAAAUGCGCCCUGUGAAGACACCAUUCUCACCACAAUCGGACAGAAGUCCACAGCUUUCUCUGUGAAUCCAUUGUCAUUGGAGGGACUUUGGACGUUGCUUCCAGAACCACAUAACAGUUAUGUCAGGACUGCCACUACUAUUUCAGCAGAGGGAGUUCAUCAGCCCCUUGUUUUCCUUGCUUUACUUGUCUCAAUGUUGAAGUCCGUACUGAGAACAUCUGUUUGACUACUCAUUUCAUACAUCUACACUUCAACUGCAUAGGAGUUUACAAAAGUAUCCAGCAUUUUAGACCUCAGUCAUGGGAGAUAUUCUUUGUCUAAAUAGAUGGAGAAUUCUUUUAGACACAGCAAAAUGUAUGGGCUCCAGAUGAUUAAAAUAUGGCC